AUUGAACGCUGGCGGCACGCCUAACACAUGCAAGUCGAACGGCAGCAUGAUAAGAGCUUGCUCUUAUUGAUGGCGAGUGGCGGACGGGUGAGUAAUAUGUAGGAAUCUACCUAGAGGUGCGGGAUAACUUAGGGAAACUUAAGCUAAUACCACAUAAUCCCUAAGGGGGAAAGCAGGGGAUCUUCGGACCUUGCGCCUUAUGAUGAGCCUACAUCGGAUUAGCUAGUUGGUGGGGUAAAGGCCUACCAAGGCGACGAUCCGUAGCUGGUCUGGGAGGAUGAGCAGCAACACUGGGACUGAGACACGGCCCAGACUCCUACGGGAGGCAGCAGUGGGGAAUAUUGGACAAUGGGCGAAAGCCUGAUCCAGCAAUGCCGCGUGUGUGAAGAAGGCCUUAGGGUUGUAAAGCACUUUCAGUGGGGAGAAAGUUGUGUGUGCUAAUAUCGCAUGCAAUUGAUGUUACCCACAGAAGAAGCACCGGCUAACUCUGUGCCAGCAGCCGCCGCCG
rnacentral:rRNA from 1 species